rnacentral:sRNA from 1 species
GUCAACCACCCACCGCUUAAACCCUGACGGGUUUUGAAGCGGGGGCUUGCAGUAGAACUGUAAGCCGGGAUUGACUACCCUCAGCCUGAUCAUCAGGCUACGUUAUCAUAGUCAUCACACCUGCGGACGUCGUCCUA